UACGUAGGCAGCGAGCGUUGUUCGGAGUUACUGGGCGUAAAGAGUGUGUAGGCGGUUUUCUAAGUUUGGUGUGAAAUCUCCCGGCUUAACUGGGAGGGUGCGCCGAAGACUGGAAGGCUUGAGUAUGGGAGAGGUAAGCGGAAUUCCUGGUGUAGCGGUGAAAUGCGUAGAUAUCAGGAGGAACACCUGCGGUGUAGACGGCUUACUGGACCAUAACUGACGCUGAGGCACGAAAGCGUGGGUAGCAAACAGG
rnacentral:rRNA from 1 species